UACAGAGGGGGCAAGCGUUAUUCGGAAUUAUUGGGCGUAAAGGGCGCGUAGGCGGCAUGGCAAGUGGAAGGUGAAAUCCCUCGGCUUAACCGAGGAACUGCCCUCCAAACUGCUUUGCUUGAGGCCGGGAGAGGCGAGUGGAAUUCCCAGUGUAGCGGUGAAAUGCGUAGAGAUCGGAAAGAACACCAACGGCGAAAGCACUCUGCUGGGCCGACACUGACACUGAGAGACGAAAGCUAGGGGAGCGAAUGGG
rnacentral:rRNA from 1 species